GGAGUAAAAGUCGUAACAAGGUCUCCGUUGGUGAACCAGCGGAGGGAUCAUUACAGAGUUGCAAAACUCCCAAACCAUUGUGAACGUUACCUAUCCCGUUGCUUCGGCGGGCGGCCCGGGCCCCGCGCCCGGCGCCCCCCGGCCCCCCGUGGGCGCCCGCCGGAGGUAAACCAAACCCUUGAAUUGCAUGGCCUCUCUGAGUCUUCUGUACUGAAUAAGUCAAAACUUUCAACAACGGAUCUCUUGGUUCUG
rnacentral:misc_RNA from 1 species